GCGAGGCCAGCCAAUCAACGGAGGCACAACAUAGCGGGCCCUCUCUAGCUGUGCCUGUCGAGGCCUUGGCCAAUUUCCGCGUUAGAGGGCUAUUUGAAUUGGGGGCGCGCGAGGCGCUGCUGUCAAGGAGCCGGAGCUGCUGCGCAAGUCGCAGUUCAACGCUUCGGUUCUGGAUCAUCGAUGCCAGAAACAAAAUAAGAUCAGCUCUUAGCACUUUCAGUGCCCAGUGCAGCUUUUAGGCUGGAUCGGCGCUGAAGCUUGUGGAGAGGAGAGGAGACUGGCUUCCGCUGCCUGCGGCACCGCGCGAUCGUACCUGGAAGAGUCUGAAGAAACGGGGUCCAUCAGCGCCCAGAUGGACGGCCUUUUCAGCAGCUGACGCCGAGCAGAGAGAGCGGCGGAGGAUGUGCCCUCUUUCCUUCCCAGACCUGUUGGGAGAUUCACGGAGGGUGAAGCUCCUGAACUGCAGAGAUCCGUUGGGUACAGGGGUAGAUCCGCUUUGAAAAGGUUUGCUUUGGAAUUAGACAGCGAGGACUCGAAGCAGAACUUCCUGAUCGUCCUGUUUUCUUCAACCGGCUGGGUGUGCCCUAUUAAUACAAUUCAUAUUAUGCGACGUGUACAAUAAACAAUGGCAAUGAAUGUUCGGAUGACCCAGAGCAAAUUUUCUAUGUAAUAGAGAGGCGAGCUUUCUUUCUAUUUCUGUUGCGAUAAUAGUAAUAAAUUAUUUUACCAAACCACA